CACAAACACACCACGCGCGUUUUUUUUUUUUUUAGGAAUAACAGAGGAGUCCGCCCCUCCCACUGCGGAAUUUAACUAACAAAUAAUCGCUAGUUUUAACU